AUAAAUAAGGCUUUCAAGUGAAAUCUAACAACUCAUCAGUUGGCCGUCGUUCACUAGUUUGGCUCAUGUACUUUGGUUUUCUGUACUUUCUUAUGGUUACUUAUAGAUCUGAUGAUAAUAUUAUUUUGAAGAUCUAUAUUUAUUUUUAUAUUUAUUUUUCAAAGGCCUCAGCUCUUUCAUCUCUUAUCGAAUUACUUUUCAGAUCAAUCUUACAAAUAUGUUUUUCAGUUUUUUGUAUGUGUACUUUGUUAGCGUUACAUAGAGAUCGUAUAAUGAUCUAUCGAUGUACUUUCUAUGUGUACUUUGUUCGAGUUUGUCCAUGAAAUUUGUCGCAUCUGAAUUUUCAUUUUCACCUGGAUCUCUAAUGGUUGUUUAUAUAUCUAUUGAUGAAUUUUCAUCGAGAUCUCUAAGUGUUAGUUAAACAUCUUAUGGUGAUCUUAUUCUUGUUUUUUAAGGUCCUGUUAUGUUUUUUUGGUUGUAAUAUUGCUGUCCUUGAAAUUCUUCAUCUAUGGAUGACUUCUCAUAUAGAUCUAUAGGAUCUUAUUUAUUUUUCAAAUGCUACUUCUCAUGUAUUUGGUUUUUUCGAAUUUGUUUCUUGCCAUGUCCUUGAAAUUUUAAGAUCUAUUGAUGAAUUUUUUUCAUCCAUAUCUCUAAGGUUUACUUAGACUUAUGAGAUGAUACUAUUCUGAAGAUUUUA
rnacentral:lncRNA from 1 species